GUGGUAACAUGUUCAGCUGACCGAUACUAAUAGAUCGAGGGCUUGACCAAA
rnacentral:rRNA from 1 species